CGUCUAUGUCGAUCAUGAAGUCCACUAGAGCUUUCGAUGACUUGUACUUGCAGUUUUCACUGAAUAUCUCGAAAGCGCUCUUCUCUGAUGAACUGUUAAGGACCUGGACAAUGAAGACAGUGUCUUUUUAAUGGCUGUACGCCACUACACUGACGCCAUCCUUGGCAGCAUCCAGGCAAAGUUUCUCGAGUUCUUCUGAUGCACCAGGUUCUGAGAGUAGGUCUACACCUCUGGAUACGCUCUCGUAGACAAAGAAGCUCUUUCUCAUGACAUUCAGAGCUCCUUCCAGAGUUUCGUUCGUCAAGGACUCGAAGUCGAUGGCCCUAUUCUCUGUGGAACCCCAGACUCGAAAAGGUGACAAGGGAAGUGCGUGUGAUGGGACACACUGACGAACUUAUAAAUUAUGAAACGUUUGCCUAUCUCAAUUGCGUCCUGAAAAAUUUUCUUUCCAUCUUUCUAUACGAUAUAAUAGUACCUACAAAUAGAAAUUUUCUUCUUAUAUUAUGUAAAUCAUAAAGAAAACAAAAUGUUCUCUGAAUGUCAUUAUUAGACAACGGAUAUUUAUGGAAAAAUGUUGGACUUAGAAAGUCCAUGUUUCAUCUAACUAAUAUUAUAACAAGUACUGUAACCAAUCAGCGCAACUAAUAUGAGCCGGUUAGCUGUUGCGACCUCUUUGAGAACUUUGGAAAGUGUGUACUUAAAGUGUGUCGCAAAAAGUAUGCGAUGACGAGUAUACUCGUCAAAUACAGAGUAUGUGUGGCUGUUAUAAUAUAGAAUUAAGUUGAAACGAAAUGACUGUUUUAUUUUUGAAUUCUAUUACUGACAGAGCUCGUCAUAAAGCAAAAUAUUUCUAUUUCUUCACGACGAGUAUACUCGUCGAAAAUAGCUAACUAGUUAAAAAAUUAGGAUCACAACUUUCGACGCGGAUUACUCGAUUCACUAUCUGUCUGCCAGAAAGCUACUAAAUCGCGUUAAUAAUUCUAACGAAUCACAGUUU